UACGAAGGGGGCUAGCGUUGCUCGGAAUUACUGGGCGUAAAGCGCACGUAGGCGGAUUGUUAAGUCGGGGGUGAAAUCCUGGAGCUCAACUCCAGAACUGCCUUCGAUACUGGCGAUCUCGAGUUCGGGAGAGGUGAGUGGAACUGCGAGUGUAGAGGUGAAAUUCGUAGAUAUUCGGAAGAACACCAGUGGCGAAGGCGGCUCACUGGUCCGGUACUGGACGCUGAGGUGCGAAAGCGUGGGGGAGCAAACAGG
rnacentral:rRNA from 1 species